UCAAACUUGGUCAUUUAGAGGAAGUAAAAGUCGUAACAAGGUAACCGUAGGUGAACCUGCGGUUGGAUCAUUAAUAAAUUUAAACAAUGUAAAGUGACUUUUUCUUUUUUAUCUUGCGGUUUAACUGUAGGAUAAGGGAAAGAGUUCAUUUUCAUUACACCCCAUUGUGCACCUUUGUGUAUGUAUUUUUGGGUAUCGGAAGUUUAUUAAUUUAAGCUAGUAAAUCUAACCUUUAAACGGGUUAGGCCGACCCCAAAAAAAGGUUUUGAAAGAAACCUUAACCUUAAGCCUAUGUGAUAAAACUUUUGUCUUUAAUAAUUUUGUUUCUUAAAAAAAUUAAAAAACAACUUUUGACAACGGAUCUCUAGGCUCUCGCAUCGAUGAAGAACGCAGC
rnacentral:misc_RNA from 1 species